CCUACGGGUGGCAGCAGUGGGGAAUAUUGGGCAAUGGGCGCAAGCCUGACCCAGCAACGCCGCGUGAAGGAAGAAGGCUUUCGGGUUGUAAACUUCUUUUCUGAGGGACGAAGAAAGUGACGGUAGCUCAGGAAUAAGCCACGGCUAACUACGGGCAAGCAGCCGCGGUAAUACGUAGGUGGCAAGCGUUAUCCGGAUUUAUUGGGUGUAAAGGGCGUGUAGGCGGGAAGGCAAGUCAGAUGUGAAAACUCAGGGCUCAACCCUGAGCCUGCAUUUGAAACUGUUUUGCUUGAGUGUUGGAGAGGCAAGCGGAAUUCCGGGGGUAGCAGUGAAAUGCGUAGAUAUACGGAGGAACACCAGUGGCGAAGGCGGAUUUCUGGCCAGUAACUGACGCUGAGGCGCGAAAGCGUGGGGAGCAAACAGGAUUAGAUACCCCUGUAGUC
rnacentral:rRNA from 1 species